AGUAAAACUACAGAUAACAAUAGAGUAAAACUACAGGUAACAAUGGAGUAAAACUACAGGUAAGAAUAGAGUAAAACUACAGGUAAGAAUAGAGUAAAACUACAGGUAACAAUAGAGUAAAACUACAGGUAACAAUGGAGUAAAACUACAGGUAACAAUAGAGUAAAACUACAGGUAACAAUGGAGUAAAACUACAGGUAACAAUGGAGUAAAACUACAGGUAACAAUAGAGUAAAACUACAGGUAACAAUGGAGUAAAACUACAGGUAACAAUAGAGUAAAACUACAGGUAACAAUAGAGUAAAACUACAGGUAUACUCAAAGGUAAUUGUUCAGUUUUGGUUAAUAUUUUUCAGAGUUUAAAAAAGUUGUUCUUUAUUCUUUAGAGAUAUUUUUGGCUGAUAAUUAUAAGUCCAUUAAUAUGAUUUUUGCUGACAUGUUUAAAGUGUUUAUUUUUAUUUUCCAGUAUUUUAUUCUAACACAUUUUAGGUAUUUUUCCUGAAUAUUUCUUCUUGGCACUUUUUUUUUUGUAAAUUUCACCAUUUUUAAAAUAUAUUUUCUGUAAUCAAUACUUAAAUACAGACCUGAUCAAAAUCUAGAGACCAGUUGAAAAAUUGCUAGACUUUACCUUUUGCACAUUUGGAUCUUUAUGAGGUUUUAAGUAGAGCUACAAUAUGCAAAAGCAAGAAGGGGGAGUGUGACAAAAAGCACUUUGAAAAAGUAAUUUAUUAAAAACAACAAAAUGUUGAAAUAGGCUGUUUAUCAGCUGAUCAAAAAUUUAAGACCAUCACUCAAAAAAUUACAAGAAACUCUCCAAACCAGAACAAAAUGUUCUCAGUAGGACUCAGUAAUGAGUAGCUCCACCGUUCUUGUGAAUCACUUCAAAGAUUCUUUUGGGCAUGCUUGAUGCGAGUUUCCAGGAAGCUUUUGGGAACAUUGCUCCAAGUGGUGAAGAUGGCUUCAUGAAGGGCAUCAACUGUCUGGAACUGAUGGUCAUUUUUAUAAACUUCCCUUGCCAUCCGUCCCCAAAUGUUCUCUAUGGGAUUUAAAUUGGUGGAACAUGCGGGAUGGUCCAAAAGAGUGAUGUCAUUCUCCCUGAAGAAGUCCUUCUUUAAGCGAGCAUUGUGAACUGCAGCGUUGUCCUGUUGAAAAACCCAGCUGGUACCACCCAGACGAGGACCCUCAGUCAUGAGUAGAAAACAUCUCAGGUGGGAUCUCCUUGGAAGCCAUCUGGACCGUCAAAGUUAGAUUUUUUCUCAUCAGAGAAUAAAACUUUUUUCCACCUUUCAAUGUCCCAUGUUUGAUGCUCCCUGGCAAAGUCUAAAUGGGCAGUUUUGUGGCCUUUGAAUUUGUUUUUUGUCUUAGAAACCCUUUUCCCGCAGAUGCUGUCUGAUGGUUAUUGCGCUGCAGUCGGCACCAGUAAGGGCCUUAAUUUGGGUCAAGGUCCGCCCUGUGUCUUGACGGACAGCCAAUCGGAUCCUCCAGCUCAGCACAGGUGUAAUUUUUUGGGACUACCACUUGACUUUUUUGUUCCAUAAUGCUCAGGAUCUUUCAAAAAAAAUUAGAAUGACCGUCUUAGUGCGUCCAACCUCAGCAGCAAUGGCACGCUGUGAGAGGCCUGCUUAUGCAGCUCGACGAUCCGACCACGUUCAAGAAGAGAAAGCUUCUUAGCUUUAGCCACCAGGAGGGCGUGACCGUGUGAAUGGCUGACAGAAAAUGAGAAUUUUGAGCAGAUUUUGGAUUUUAUAGCCUGUGGUCUUAAACUUUUGAUCAGCUGAUAAACAGCCUAUAUAUAUAUAUAUGAAUUUAUUAUUUUCUAAUCUGUAUUUUCCCCCAAACAUUUUUAAUGUUUCCGUGUUUUUUGGAGCUUUUCUGACCCGUUUAUUCAUAAUAAUCUCAGGUUAUUAUUUAGUAGAGUACUUCCUGACGGUGUGUAAAGCAGAGUGUCUUAACGGGACCCUGACCCAUUAUCGAUAGGUAUUAGUGAUUAUUGAUUGGUUCCUGAACU